UACGUAGGGCGCAAGCGUUUGUCCGGAAUUAUUGGGCGUAAAGAGCUCGUAGGCGGCCUGUUGCGUCCGCUGUGAAAUCCCGGGGCUCAACCCCGGGCCUGCAGUGGAUACGGGCUGGCUAGAGGCAGGCAGGGGGAGAACGGAAUUCCUGGUGUAGCGGUGAAAUGCGCAGAUAUCAGGAGGAACACCGGUGGCGAAGGCGGUUCUCUGGGCCUGUACUGACGCUGGAGGAGCGAAAGCGUGGGGAGCGAACAGG
rnacentral:rRNA from 1 species